rnacentral:rRNA from 1 species
GACGAACGCUGGCGGCGUGCUUAACACAUGCAAGUCGUACGGUAAGGCCCUUUCGGGGGUACACGAGUGGCGAACGGGCGAGUAACACGUGAGUAACCUGCCCACCACUUUGGGAUAACGCUAGGAAACUGGCGCUAAUACUGGCUAUGUGCUCCUGCUGCAUGGUGGGGGUUGGAAAGCUACGGCGGUUGUGGAUGGACUCGCGGCCUAUCAGCUUGCUGGUGGGGUAGUGGCCUACCAAGGCGGCGACGGGUGGCCGGCCUGAGAGGGUGACCGGCCACAUUGGGACUUGGAUACGGCCCAGACUCCUACGGGAGGCAGCAGGGGGGAAUAUUGCACAAUUGGCGCAAGCCCGAUGCAGCAACGCCGCGGGCGGGAUGACGGCCUUCGGGUUGGAAACCGCUUUCAGCAGGGACGAAGCUUUUUGUGACGGUACCUGCAGAAGAAGCACCGGCUAACUACGUG